CACGUAGGGUGCGAGCGUUGUCCGGAAUUAUUGGGCGUAAAGAGCUCGUAGGCGGUCUGUCGCGUCGGCUGUGAAAUCCCGAGGCUCAACCUCGGGUCUGCAGUCGAUACGGGCAGACUAGAGUAUGGCAGGGAGACUGGAAUUCCUGGUGUAGCGGUGAAUGCGUAGAGAUGUGGAGGAACACCGAUGGCGAAGGCAGCCCCUGGUCAAGAUUGACGCUCAUGCACGAAGCGUGGGAGCAACAGG
rnacentral:rRNA from 1 species